AUUGAACGCUGGCGGCAGGCCUAACACAUGCAAGUCGAGCGAGCGGCGGACGGGUGAGUAAUGUAUGGGGACUGCCCGAUAGAGGGGGAUAAAUACUGGAAACGGUGGCUAAUACCGCAUACUAUCGGAUAACCCAUAUGGGAGUAGCUAGUAGGUGGUGUAACGGCUCACAUAGGCGACGAUCUCUAGCUGGUCGGCGAGGAUGAUCAGCCACACGGGGAAUGAUACACGGCCCAGACUCCUUCGGAGGCAGCAGUGGGGAAUAUUGCACAAUGGGCGCAAGCCUGAUGCAGCCAUGCCGCGUGUAGGAAGAAGGCCUUAGGGUUGUAAAGUACUUUCAGCGGGGAGGCGUUACCCGCAGAAGAAGCACCGGCUAACUCCGUGCCAGCAGCCGCGGUAAUAC
rnacentral:rRNA from 1 species